GAUGAACGCUGGCGGCGUGCCUAAUACAUGCAAGUCGAGCGAACGGACGAGAAGCUUGCUUCUCUGAUGUUAGCGGCGGACGGGUGAGUAACACGUGGAUAACCUACCUAUAAGACUGGGAUAACUUCGGGAAACCGUAGCUAAUACCGGAUAAUAUUUUGAACCGCAUGGUUCAAAAGUGAAAGACGGUCUUGCUGUCACUUAUAGAUGGAUCCGCGCUGCAUUAGCUAGUUGGUAAGGUAACGGCUUACCAAGGCAACGAUGCAUAGCCGACCUGAGAGGGUGAUCGGCCACACUGGAACUGGGACACGGUCCAGACUCCUACGGGAGGCAGCAGUAGGGAAUCUUCCACAAUGGGCGAAAGCCUGACGGAGCAACGCCGCGUGAGUGAUGAAGGUCUUCGGAUCGUAAAACUCUGUUAUUAGGGAAGAACAUAUGUGUAAGUAACUGUGCACAUCUUGACGGUACCUAAUCAGAAAGCCACGGCUAACUACGUG
rnacentral:rRNA from 1 species